GCUGCCCGCGGCCUGGCCGCUGUCCGCUAGCACGGCCCGAGCCCGCUGCGGACCCCGCCUGCCCCAGCGCCGCCCGAGCUCCCACCGCGCUUCAGACACGUCCCGGGCGGCAGGGCCGGGCUCGGAGCCGGCCGCGCCGUGCCCGUCCCUUCCCAAGUGGCCGCUGUGACCCUGCCGCCGGUCGCGCUCUCGCCGGCUCCCGGUCCCGGUUUGACCAUGCGGGAGCGGCUCGUUGUGCUGCUGUGCGCGCUGGCGCGCGGCGGACGGGCGGGCGGCGCGCCAUGCCCGGCACCGGCCCCAGCGCCUGGGACGGGCCGCAGCGGAGGGCCUGGCUCCGCACUACUACAGCCAGCGGCAGAAGCGGCUCAUGACGCUCCUGAUCGCACGCCGGAGGAGAACCAGCUGCUACUUCUACCCCCCGCGCUUGGCCUGGUGUCAGGUGCACAGACUGGUGGGAGCGGGUGGUGCUGAAGGAGUUUAGUCCCCGGGAUUGGCUGGAGAAGUUCCGGAUGUCCAAAGAGACCUUCUUCUACAUCUGCAAUCAGCUGCGUCCUGGGGCUGGCUCCACACAGUGCCCACUUCCACCCCACCCUGCCCCUGGAGAAGAGGUGGCCGUGGCCCUGUGCACUUGGCCACCAAUGUGGAGUACUCAAACUCUGAGCCCUCUCUUUGGAGUGGGGCCUCCACGGUGCAGACGUGUGUGCGGGAGGUGGCUAUGCUGUUGUCUUGCUGCUGAAGCCCCUCUACCUCCGGCUACCCAAGAGAAGGAGCUGGAGAAACAUGUGCGCAUCUUCCGUACCCGCUGGGGCUUCCCCGCCACUGCAUCGGUGCCCUGGACAUCCUUCCAUCCCCAUCCACCCUCACACCCUCCCGUGCGCCUCAGUGCUGACUACUGCAAUGGCCAGGGCUGGCAUUCCAUCCUUACACAGGCCACUGUGGAUGGGCUGGGCCAGUUUUGGGAUGUCUCCACUGCUUUCCCUGGCAGUAUGGAGAACAGUGCGGUAUUGGAGAGCUCCAGCCUGUGGGUGCUGGCCAAGGAGGGCCGGCUGUGCCCCAACCCUCCUAGCACUUCCAUGGGAAGGCACAGAAGUACGUGCUGCUGGUGAUGCCACCUAUCCCUUGCAAGACUGGAUUCUCAAGCCCUACCAGGAGGAUGAGACGCUCACUCAGCGGCAGCUGCAGUUCAACUACCGCCUGAAGCGGGCACACAGCGUGAUUGAGAAUGCAUUCCUGCGCCUGAAGGCACGCUGGCAGAUCCUCCUCAAGUGUGAUGACUGCAGCCUGGAGCUGCUGCCCACCCUCGUCCUUGCCUGCUGCAUCCUGACACAACGUCUGCGAAGCCCAUGACAACCCCUUCAACCAGGAGUGGCGGAGGGCACUGAGUCCCACCUGAGCUGCCCAAGCCCUGCCAGCCUGCACCCACUGCCAUGGAGGAUGGACGGGCCGAGCAGUGCGGGAGCUCAUGUGCCAGUACUUUGAGAGCUACGGGGAGGGAAGGUCUGGGGAAGGAUGAUGGGAUUGGGGUGGGAAGGAGCAGCCCUGCACAUCCCUGCUUGUAGACUUCCUCCAGCAGACAUUGGCCAGUGGUACCUGUGCGACUCGCAAAGGACUGUGUCCUCCCAUGUCCAGUAAGGCUGCUGACUGCAUUGGCCGUUUCCAGGAUGGGGAAAAGGGAUGGCUGCAUUGUGCUCAUCCUGUUUUUGACACUUGUUUCAGGCAGUGGAAUGUAUUUUGUGCCCUUUACUCUCCCAGGCAUA